rnacentral:lncRNA from 10 species
UUGGACAUAAAAGUUUUCUACCCUGUGCUAGGAUGGAAUUGAGCAUCCCCACUGAUGAAAUUGACUCAGAGAAAUCCUGGACUCACAGAUCAUUUACUCUUUGUAACAGCUAUAGUUUCCACACCACAGCAUAACUCAGGACAUUAAAGGUACUACAGACAACUCAAUGUAUGCAAACCACAAUGACUAACCCUGGAACCCUGGAAAGAAUGUACACAGUAGCAGGAGCCUACAGAAGACUGCAAGAAGAUGGGGAAAUGCAAAAAUGAAAUAUAAAAUGAAACAAAGUAAAAUCUAAAUGGAUACCUGAGAUGAGUAAUGAAAUUUUCAUUGCCAUUUUUGGAUUUACUCUCCUAACUAAUCUCCAAGGUAAUGCAAACUAAGUUAGAAGAAAGCUUUUCUGAGUCAAUCGGGGUCCCAAGAAGCAAACUGAAGGCCCACUGUGUGUAGGCACUGGUUUUCUGCACCACACCCUGGCUCACUGCCUUCUCCAAGCCCUCCAAAGACUGUUAGUUUAGGCAUCUAGGAGAAAACAUUUCAGAACUUGUAUGUCCCAACAUCAUGCUAUUUGAAAUAUCACUUUUCUCAGAAAAAG